UUCUAGGUCGUACCAUUCUGCUUUGCUGUUUCUGGGAUGUGAUUCUUCAAUGAGAUGCCAUCAAACCAAAGAAAGGGGGCAGCUGUGUUGCUGGGUCUACCAUGGUGCAUGAAAGCGAAAGCUUUCACGCUCUUGAAGAUGUGAGAGCUGAAUCCAAACAUUGGGCUGCCUCAAAUACCACCGGUGCUGUAACACCUGAAGUCAGGGAUAAGUAGAGCGGAUGUGUUGGGGAGAAUCUGCCACUCACAACAAGGUGCCACCUGAAACACACAAGGGAAGGCCGAGACCAGUGUCAAGGCUGAGGGAAAGGUGGACCAGCCUCAUGAGUCAUGGAAAGUAAAGCUCUAAAAGUUUCCCCACACGUUGGACAGCUGCAGAACAUUUCUGAGUCUAUUACAGAGAUCCUGACAGAGUAAGCAAUGUUUCAAAGAAAAAGACUUGCUGAGUCCACCAUUAUGAGCUAUAAAAUAGCUAGGUUCUCAGAAAAUGGAAGAAUGAUGAAUCUUUUUUCCCCCCACUCUGUCUUUCUCAUUUAGUUGAGCCUGGGAACUGUUACCUCACAUUAAUCAGGGUCCAUCUAAGCCCCUUUUUAUGGAGAAGAGUCGUUUUGGUCCCAGUACUCAUUACUGCCAUGUAUGUGAAAGGUGCAUAGUAGCAAAUAAUGUGCAGGGAGAAGGCUUUUUACCCAUUACAGUGCUGUGUUAAGCAUGAUCAAUACAUGUUAUUGACUAUGUGAAGCAAUAAAGAAGAUUUUAUUCUUAUUACUAGUAGAGAAUGCACUUUGGUUGGCCACCCA